rnacentral:lncRNA from 1 species
CUGGGGAGGGACGAGGGAAGGCGAGCUGGGACGGCGGUCACUCUCCAGGGCCCUCGCGUUGGCACCAGCACAGCUGCAGUGACUCCUCGAUUGGUCCCGAGCGGGAUGGCAUCGUCGCCAGGCUGUUGCAGACAGCUAAGGGUGAGAUUCGGCCCGAGGAAGCUGUGGGGAGCGGCUGAGUCUCCGAAGAGCAGCAGUGGCUGUUGACUGCUGGACUGAGUGUUACCUGUGUCUUCUUUGACUGAAACCCUCAUUUCCGGUCACCCGGGGCUUCCGGUGCUGCCUGCAGCUGUCAGCCGUCUUCUGAAGGCCCCUGUGCGGCGGAAGCCGGGUCCCGCUCCCGGAAGUCACCGCGGGUGGCUCUUCGGGUCAGGCUGCAGCUGUCUUCCUUCUCGUUGUUCAUCUCCACCGAGGCAAAAGACAGAAGAGAGGGAGAAAUCCAGCAGGCCUCCCCCCAGACCUUCCAAGGGUGCAGGUCCGGGUCCCUGCUUUGACGGCAGCGCCAGGUCCUGGGAAACCUGCGCCCCUGCCCCAGAAAGCUGGUCGCGCUCUCGGACUUGUGGAGCAGUCGCAGCCCAGGAAGAAAAGUCGAAGACUUGAGGGGGCAACAGCGCAGGGACCACUGUGGCGCCCCGGGGGCCUGCGGUUCCCAGGGCCGCUCCCACCCGCCCCUAGCAACGGCCCACCGGCCCACCCUAGGGACAGCGAGUUCGAGGCCAGCCUGGGCUACUUAGCGAGUUGCUGCCUCAAAAAAAGAGGCCAGGUUGGAGGAGGUCACAGUGACAGUGACGAGGCAGAAGGCGAAGGGAGAGCAACCUCCCCCACGGCUGUGCCCCAAAAGACUGAAACUGGCAGUGCCAGCCUGGCGUGGUGGUGCAUGCCUGUCAUUCCGGCACUCUGGAAGGCUGAAGCAGGAGGAUGGCAAGUUGUAGACCAGCCCAGGUAACUUAGUGAUUUAGUGAGACCCUGACUCAAAAUAAAAACAAAAAAAGUGAAAAGGACUGGAGAUAUAGCUUAGAGUGAAGGCCCUUUUGGUUCAAUUCCCAGUACCAGGGGGAGAGAGAGAAAGAAAGAGAAAGAGAGAAAGGAGCUCCACAAACAUGCGUUCACACAAGUUCACAGCAGCGCUCUUCACGGGAGCCCCGAGGUGGCAGCAGCUCACCUGUCCAUCGGGGAUCGAACUUCGGACCUUGCACUUGCGAGGCAGUUGCCGGAACCACUGAGCUAAAUCCCUGGUCCUUACGUCACAGUUUUGUAAUCAUCAGAAUCUAGAUGUGGCUAAUCUGUAAUAUCCAUGGUGUGGCUACUUUGAUGACCAAUUGUCAAAAAAAAAAAAGGUAAAAGGUAAAAGGUGAAGCUUGCAUUAAAGGGGAUUUCAGGACAUCAACCAAUCACAAUGUGGUCAUCUCAUGUAGCUCUUGAGUUUGUGAAACUGAAU